rnacentral:rRNA from 1 species
CCUACGGGAGGCAGCAGUAGGGAAUUUUCGGCAAUGGGGGGAACCCUGAACGAGCAACGCCGCGUGAACGAAGAAGUUAUUCGUAAUGUAAAGUUCUUUUAACAGGGGAGAAAGAGAAAUUUGACGGUACCUGAAGAAUAAGCUCGGGCGAACUACGUGCGAGAAGCCGGGGUAAUACGUAGGGAGCGAGCGGUAGCCGGAAUUAUUGGGCGUAAAGGGUGCGUAAAUGGCAUAGGUAGUCUUUUGUAAAAAUGCGGGGCCCAACCCAGUAGGGCAAAAGAUACUGAAAUGCUAGAGUAUGACAGAGGCAAUGGGAACGACAUGUGUAGCGGGAAAAUGCGUAAAUAUAUGUAAGAACACCAGUGGCGAAGGCGGCUUGCUGGGUCGAUACUGACAUUGAGGCACGAAAGCGUGGGGAGCAAACAGGAUUAGAUACCCCUGUAGUC